AUUGAACGCUGGCGGCAUGCCUUACACAUGCAAGUCGAACGGCAGCGGGGGCUUCGGUCCGCCGGCGAGUGGCGAACGGGUGAGUAAUGUAUCGGAACGUACCAUUCAGUGGGGGAUAACUAUCCGAAAGGAUAGCUAAUACCGCAUAUUCUGUGAGCAGGAAAGCAGGGGAUCGCAGGACCUUGCGCUGAUUGAGCGGCCGAUAUCAGAUUAGCUAGUUGGUGAGGUAACGGCUCACCAAGGCUACGAUCUGUAGCGGGUCUGAGAGGAUGGUCCGCCAAACUGGGACUGAGACACGGCCCAGACUCCUACGGGAGGCAGCAGUGGGGAAUUUUGGACAAUGGGCGCAAGCCUGAUCCAGCCAUGCCGCGUGAGUGAAGAAGGCCUUCGGGUUGUAAAGCUCUUUCGGCCGGGAAGAGAUCGCAUCAGCUAAUACCUGGUGUGGAUGACGGUACCGGAAUAAGAAGCACCGGCUAACUACGUGCCAGCCGCCGCCGUAAGAC
rnacentral:rRNA from 1 species